GUUCCGACGGAGAGCAGGAGCGUAACUGGUUCUGGAGUGAUGGCUCUCGCUUCCUCUUCAGAAACUGGUGCUCAUCAAGGCCUUCAAGCAGCCGUAGUCUUAACUGCCUCGCGAUGAACUAUUCAUCUCGCAAAUGUGGGAUAGACUACCCAUGCACAUACCGAUACCCGUUUGUCUGUGUACGGGGUUAAGACCAGAGCUGAAGGAACAUCCCAAACAAGACGUCUAAUCAAUUCUACUUUUCUUUUAUUCUCUCCCGCUGCUGUAACGCUGAGAAAUGAGUGAAGCGACAAGAUUCAGGAGGUGGAAUGUCUCUUUGGUCACAUGGCAAAGAGCAAAUGGAAUGUAGUCUGGAAAGAAUGCUUUUAGCUCAACUAAACCUUACCCUGUUUUCUAUUUCAAAAUUAAA